rnacentral:rRNA from 1 species
CCUUCGGGUUGUAAACCUCUUUUAGUAGGGAAGAAGCGAAAGUGACGGUACCUGCAGAAAAAGCACCGGCUAACUACGUGCCAGCAGCCGCGGUAAUACGUAGGGUGCAAGCGUUGUCCGGAAUUAUUGGGCGUAAAGAGCUCGUAGGCGGUUUGUCGCGUCUGCUGUGAAAUCCCGAGGCUCAACCUCGGGCUUGCAGUGGGUACGGGCAGACUAGAGUGCGGUAGGGGAGAUUGGAAUUCCUGGUGUAGCGGUGGAAUGCGCAGAUAUCAGGAGGAACACCGAUGGCGAAGGCAGAUCUCUGGGCCGUAACUGACGCUGAGGAGCGAAAGCGUGGGGAGCGAACAGGAUUAGAUACCCUGGUAGUCCACGCCGUAAACGUUGGGCGCUAGAUGUAGGGACCUUUCCACGGUUUCUGUGUCGUAGCUAACGCAUUAAGCGCCCCGCCUGGGGAGUACGGCCGCAAGGCUAAAACUCAAAGGAAUUGACGGGGGCCCGCACAAGCGGCGGAGCAUGCGGAUUAAUUCGAUGCAACGCGAAGAACCUUACCAAGGCUUGACAUACACCGGAAACGGCCAGAGAUGGUCGCCCCCUUGUGGUCGGUGUACAGGUGGUGCAUGGUUGUCGUCAGCUCGUGUCGUGAGAUGUUGGGUUAAGUCCCGCAACGAGCGCAACCCUCGUUCUAUGUUGCCAGCGCGUUAUGGCGGGGACUCAUAGGAGACUGCCGGGGUCAACUCGGAGGAAGGUGGGGAUGACGUCAAAUCAUCAUGCCCCUUAUGUCUUGGGCUUCACGCAUGCUACAAUGGCCGGUACAAAGGGCUGCGAUACCGUAAGGUGGAGCGAAUCCCAAAAAGCCGGUCUCAGUUCGGAUUGAGGUCUGCAACUCGACCUCAUGAAGUCGGAGUCGCUAGUAAUCGCAGAUCAGCAACGCUGCGGUGAAUACGUUCCCGGGCCUUGUACACACCGCCCGUCAAGUCAUGAAAGUCGGUAACACCCGAAGCCGGUGGCCUAACCC